GACGAACGCUGGCGGCGUGCCUAAUACAUGCAAGUUGAGCGAUGAAGCUUGGUGCUUGCACCAAUUUGAAGAGCAGCGAACGGGUGAGUAACGCGUGGGGAAUCUGCCUUUGAGCGGGGGGCAACAUUUGGAAACGAAUGCUAAUACCGCAUAACAACUUUAAACAUAAGUUUUAAGUUUGAAAGAUGCAAUUGCAUCACUCAAAGAUGAUCCCGCGUUGUAUUAGCUAGUUGGUGAGGUAAAGGCUCACCAAGGCGAUGAUACAUAGCCGACCUGAGAGGGUGAUCGGCCACAUUGGGACUGAGACACGGCCCAAACUCCUACGGGAGGCAGCAGUAGGGAAUCUUCGGCAAUGGACGAAAGUCUGACCGAGCAACGCCGCGUGAGUGAAGAAGGUUUUCGGAUCGUAAAACUCUGUUGGUAGAGAAGAACGUUGGUGAGAGUGGAAAGCUCAUCAAGUGACGGUAACUACCCAGAAAGGGACGGCUAACUACGUG
rnacentral:rRNA from 1 species